AAUAGCACAUGAGGGCACCGUCUCAAUAGAUCCCUGUAUCUCUCCUAUGUAUCAUAUAACGUUUCUAAAUCGAUCUGGGUAAAUUAAGAAAUCUCAUUCCUCAACUU
rnacentral:snoRNA from 1 species